rnacentral:rRNA from 1 species
GACGAACGCUGGCGGCAGGCCUAACACAUGCAAGUCGAACGAGACCUUCGGGUCUAGUGGCGGACGGGUGAGUAACACGUGGGAACGUGCCUUUAGGUUCGGAAUAACUCAGGGAAACUUGUGCUAAUACCGAAUGUGCCCUUCGGGGGAAAGAUUUAUCGCCUUUAGAGCGGCCCGCGUCUGAUUAGCUAGUUGGUGAGGUAAUGGCUCACCAAGGCUACGAUCAGUAGCUGGUCUGAGAGGAUGGCCAGCCACAUUGGGACUGAGACACGGCCCAAACUCCUACGGGAGGCAGCAGUGGGGAAUCUUGCGCAAUGGGCGAAAGCCUGACGCAGCCAUGCCGCGUGAAUGAUGAAGGUCUUAGGAUUGUAAAAUUCUUUCACCGGGGACGAUAAUGACGGUACCCGGAGAAGAAGCCCCGGCUAACUUCGUGCCAGCCGCCGCGGUAACAC